rnacentral:rRNA from 1 species
UACGAAGGGGGCUAGCGUUGCUCGGAAUGACUGGGCGUAAAGGGCGCGUAGGCGGUUCGUACAGUCAGACGUGAAAUUCCCGGGCUCAACCUGGGGGCUGCGUUUGAUACGUACGGGCUUGAGUUCGGAAGAGGGUCGUGGAAUUCCCAGUGUAGAGGUGAAAUUCGUAGAUAUUGGGAAGAACACCGGUGGCGAAGGCGGCGACCUGGUCCGAUACUGACGCUGAGGCGCGAAAGCGUGGGAGCAAACAGG